rnacentral:rRNA from 1 species
UGGGGAAUUUUGCGCAAUGGGCUAACGCCUGACGCAGCAACGCCGCGUGGAGGAUGAAGGUCCUUGGAUUGUAAACUCCUGUCAGCGGGGAAAAAGCGAGGUGACCUCAUACGUCAUCGAGUUGAUUGUACCCGCAGAGGAAGCCCCGGCUAACUCUGUGCCAGCAGCCGCGGUAAUACAGAGGGGGCAAGCGUUAUUCGGAAUUAUUGGGCGUAAAGGGCGCGUAGGCGGCCUUGCAAGUGACGGGUGAAAUCCCUCGGCUUAACCGAGGAACUGCCUGUCAGACUGCAUGGCUUGAGACCGGGAGAGGUGAGUGGAAUUCCCAGUGUAGCGGUGAAAUGCGUAGAUAUUGGGAGGAACACCAGUGGCGAAGGCGGCUCACUGGACCGGUACUGACGCUGAGGUGCGAAAGCGUGGGGAGCAAACAG